UUCCCCACUGCCACUACUACCAGCUUCCUCCUAUGUCUUCAGUAAUGGUUACUCUGCAGAUGUAAGUGGCUGGCUGAGAGGGACGUGCUGCUGGGCCAGGCAGCAGCUGCCUGGAAAGGUACAAUGGCUAUUUUCCCUUCUCUCAGUGUAUCUAUGUAUGUUAGCAGUCUGGCUGAAUUAAAUGGAUCGUUCAUGCAGAUAUGCAGCAGAGUUUGUCCUUGAAAUAGAAUCUUAGAUCACAACAUUGCUGAUGACCUACAGAUAGAAAAAAGGCAUGGCGUGUUGGGGUGAAAAGAAAGAGGAAAGAGGAAAGGUGAAGUGAAGUGAAGCUAAAUGAAGUGAAGAGAGAAGAGGACGUCCUUCAUAGUUGUAUGAACUUUACAGUUCAUCUGUGUGCUGACACCAUCCCUGUCCUAUGGGAUCAUGAACAGAUGACUAGAAGUUAAAUAUACUUUUUUACCAUUUGCAGUUUCUAAGAUUUUCUUCUCUGACAGGAAACUUUGUGGUGCCCCACAUUUCAGCAGCGCAACAUGCCUCGGCAGAGUGUCAGUGCAUUAGGACUCCAGGAUAUCAUCAUCCUUCACCAUUGUCAGAGAGAGGGGACCUGGACAGCAGUCAGAGACUAUCGUAUGUUGGAGAAGUGUUUAAAUGAAGCCAUGAAGAAUGUUCAUCAUGAUUACAGAAGGAAAGCAUUUGCCAGAUAUUUUGGCUUGUGGAAGACACAGGCAUAGGACUGACAACAAAGUCCGGGGGAAGAUAUGCCAAGAUCUGCUGGAGAAAGAAUCUCAACAAAGAGUCAGACAAUAGGGAAAAGCCUCUCUUUACUUUUGCUGGCCAGAUUGCAUGUAAAAUUCACAUAGACACACACAGCGUAUAAAUAAGGCAAGGGCUGCACAUUUACCGCAGAAGUUGGUUUGUCUAUUGAUGUUGCCUCCGUAGCAGUCUCAUCCUGACCGUAUGCCAAAUAGCUCCUGGCAGAUGCUCAGCUCAGUGAGCCUACAUUCCUUAGCAGCUACAGUUUAGCAAAUACUUGUAAGAGACAGAGACAGACUGUGAAGCUGCUGGUUCAGAAAGGAUCCUGCUUCAGAGGUGGAUGACGAUUCCAUAAAGAAAACAAAUGACAGCUACAGGUUCGAACAGGCCAAGGCAGCCUUGUGCAGACCAUGCUGAUCUUUGGCAUAAGGGACAACUAAUUAGUCCCAAACAAUGAUACUUCUCUCAAAAAUAUGAUCCCAAAGUGAAUUCUGAAGGUUAUAUUUCAGGAGGAGUAAGUUCUCUAAAAAUGCAUGGAUACUUCUAAAUCUUAGCUGAACUGUAGGAAUAUUGCAUGUUACAAAUAGGAUUUUGAAAAGUGAUACAAAGUCAUAUAAGAUGGAGCUCUGGUUCUAGU